GAUCCUGGCUCAGGACGAACGCUGGCGGUAUGCUUCAUACAUGCAAGUCGAACGAUAAGGUCCCUUCGGGGAUACAUAAGUGGCGGACGGGUGAGUAACACGUAGAAAAUCUACCUCGAGGAAGGGGACAACAGUUGGAAACGACUGCUAAUACCCUAUAUGAGCUGGGCUGAAACGCCUAUCUUGAAAGUUCCGGCGCCUUGAGAUGAGUCUGCGUCUGAUUAGCUAGUUGGUGGGGUAAAUGCCUACCAAGGCGACGAUCAGUAGCUGGUUUGAGAGGAUGACCAGCCACAAUGGGACUGAGACACGGCCCAUACUCCUACGGGAGGCAGCAGUAGGGAAUUUUGCGCAAUGGGGGGAAAAACCCCUGACGCAGCAACACCGCGUGGACGACGAAGCCCUUCGGGGUGUAAAGUUCUGUCAGUAGGGACGAAUUUUGACGGUACCUACAAAGGAAGCAUCGGCUAACUACGUGCCAGCCGCCGC
rnacentral:rRNA from 1 species